UCCUACGGGUGGCAGCAGUCGGGAAUUUUGCUCAAUGGGCGAAAGCCUGAAGCAGCAACGCCGCGUGAGGGAUGACGGCCUUCGGGUUGUAAACCUCUUUUCUCAGGGACGAUAAUGACGGUACCUGAGGAAUAAGCCACGGCUAACUACGUGCCAGCAGCCGCGGUAAUACGUAGGUGGCGAGCGUUGUCCGGAUUUACUGGGCGUAAAGAGCGCGCAGGCGGUCGUGCAAGUCGGAUGUGAAAGCCCCUGGCUCAACUGGGGGAAGUCAUUCGAUACUGCUCGACUUGAAGGCGGGAGAGGGAAGCGGAAUUCCCGGUGUAGUGGUGAAAUGCGUAGAUAUCGGGAGGAACACCAGUGGCGAAGGCGGCUUCCUGGCCCGUUCUUGACGCUGAGGCGCGAAAGCUAGUGGAGCAAACGGGAUUAGAUACCCUGGUAGUCCC
rnacentral:rRNA from 1 species